ensembl:snRNA U6 U6 spliceosomal RNA
GUACUUGCUUCAGGAGCACGUAUGCUAAAAUUGGAACGAUACAGAAGAUUAGCAUGACCUCUGUGCAAGGAUGACACGAAUUCGUGAAGCAUUCCAUAUUUUA